AUAUAGCAUUACACACAUAUCGGAUUCUCGUAUUGUUAACAUUUUUUGAAAAGUAUGACCAAUAUAGCUUAUACAGUUAUACUAUAUUAGGCGUAUAUUUCAAUCAAACACUCCCAAGUAAAGCUAAAACACUAAGCUCAAACAAGAUAUACAUCAUUUACUAGCAAGACUCGUGAUUACAAUCUUGAUCUUUCACCUGAUGAAUCCUUCCAGAAUCACAAGCAGAGCAACAACAAUGGCGUAAUCCACGUUCCGUUCACACAGUGAAACCAAAAUCACUGAGGCACGACCAAAAUGCAGUUGAAACAGAGGAAGAAAAGGAACAUCAGUACAGCUACCAAAAUAAACUUGUAUACUAUAACAGUGUUCAUAGCUCAAGCUUGCAAACAAACCAACAUUACACACUUAUACAACAUUAGCCAAAUCUGGCAAUCAACUAGACUCAAAAGUAUAGCCAUAAACGCGGGGUUCAAAACAAAAUACACAUCAAGCUACCUGGCAAUGCUCGCGAUAACUAUCUUAAUCUGAACCUGAUCGAUCCUCAUUAAUCUCCUCAAGAAUCACAACGAGAGCAACAAUGAACGCGUAAUCCACGUUUGGGUACACAGUGACACCAAAAUUGUCUUUACCAAGUAGUAUACUUUGAGCAGUGUGUUUCCUGUGCAUUUGAGCAAUUAUAGACGACGAAUUUCCAGCAUAUAUAACACAUGAUCUUUCAAGCCAACUGCCUUCAAUUCUGAAAUCACAAACGUCUUCUGAUGUGUUGUGCGCUAAGAAUACAUCCAAUUUGGUUUUGAAUUGAAGAAGUGAAGAUUUUUUUACACUGAAAAGGAAAUCUUUUGAGUCUGUGCUUUCUCCUCUGUAUACUUGCCAUCUUCUAUGAGCACUCAACAUCUUUUGUUGAAAAGUGACGAGAGAGUUUCCGGCAGCAUCAAGCAAAAUCCGGCGAUCACGGAGGCUGAAGAACUUGCCUUUAACCUUAAAAACAAUGUUUCCAUUGACAUCGGUAACUCCGAACGCACCUUCAGACCAAGUCAUAAGUUUCCUUACAACGUUUAAAUCAACGGGAUACGGUGCACAGAACUGUGGAUUUAUAAUUGCUACCGGAUUUGGUACUGGCAUAGGCGCCGGAGUUUGAGGAGGAUAAUUACUUGUUCCUGCCAUACUUGAUUGAACUAAGAAUUAGAGAUGAUUUUUGAGAGAUUUAGAGAAGAAGAGAGAAUUUUUUUUUUGUUUUGUG
rnacentral:misc_RNA from 1 species